AUCGGUUUGAGCGGUACCGUUUCGUAAUCGUUUCAAGUCCAUAAUCUACAUAAACAACCUAAUCCGUCCUUACAUUUACAUUACCAACCAGUCAUGCUCUCACAUCCAGCAGAUAUUGUGUGUUGCGCUGCGGUUCUUUGCAAAUGGAAGUUUUUAUAUGAUGUCAGAGAUGCAGAGUAAGACAACUGUAUGGAGGACAGUCAGAAAAGUUUUCCUGGCUCUGAAACGACUUUUACCAUCAUUGUGGUUUUCCUGGACACAAACCUGUCAGAACAUCAAGGAGGAGCUCCACAGGAUUGCAGGUGAAUGAUGUAGAGAUCUGUUAAAUUCAUUUUAAAUCAUAUUCUGUUAAUGACAUUGUGCUGCAGCCUCAGACUGGGAUCAGUCAUUUGAAUUUCUUUUAGGAUUUCCCAGUGUGAUUGGCUGCAUAGAUGCACAUACAUCCCCAUCACAGCUCCCUCACAUCAUGAACAGGAAGUCCAUUCACAGCAUAAAUGUGCAGAUCAGAUGUGAUGCUGCAUACAUCAUUUCUAAUGUGGAGGCCACGUGGUCUGGGUCUGUUCAUGACUCCAGGAUUUAUGGAGAGUCCAACCUGAGCAACAGACUGCAGCGUGGUCAGCAGCAUAAAGAUUUUCACAAUAGAAUUCUCUUGUCUCCCUCCUUUAAUAUGCUCUGAUGUAUCCACUAUACAUUACAGGAGAGUUUGAUGGCCUUCUGCUGGGUGACAGGGGUUACCAUGACAACCCAGGCUGAUGACCUCAUACCCUGACCCUGAACCAGGCCCCCAACAGAACUUCAACCGGGCUCACUGCAGGACCAGAGCCCGGGUGGAGAUGACCAUAGGCCUGCUGAAAGCCCGUUUCCAGAGCCUACGUCUCCUCAGGGUGACCCCUGAGAGGGCCUGUGAUAUUACUGUGGCAUGUGUUGUUCUUCAUAAUAUUACCACUAUUAGAGGAGAGCAACACCCUGCCCUACAAACUGAAGACCCAGAUGAUGAGCCCAUCCACCUGCAGCUAUCCAGGACAGCAGAGCAGUCAGAGACACCGUAUGCAAGAAUCACUUUAGAGUUUAAGUCUCCAUCAUCACCACCACAGCAAAUAAAGACAUGAUACACAUUUCA